GCACGAAAAACAAUCGGACGGAGUGAGGCACCCUCGCAUGAGAAAAAAUCAGACGAACGAGGCCGCCCUCGAUCUAUUCUCUAUGUCGACGGAAACCACGCCGCUGCCGCCAUCGCAGAUCCCUUCGCCGCCGCCGAUCUAUUCGCUAUCUCUACGUCGACGGGAACCAUGCCCUAGCCUCCAUCGCGGAUCCUUUUGCUGGCGUCGAGGUCCUAGAAGAGCCGCCACCGCCUUCAUUGCGGACCCCCAGGACGUCGUCGGGACACCGCCGCUGAGGUCCGCCAUCGCCGCCGUCGAGGUCCGGGAGGGGCAUGAUCCCAGGGUGAUUUGCAUCCCGGGGCACCACCCGCUCAUUGCCGGGAUGCCCGAGCCCGCCAAGAAGUCCGCCAUGCCGCGAAGGGGCUCCUGGGGGCACGAACCAUAGCUGCACCGUCAGACCAUCGCGCUCAACUUCGAGGAGAGGAUGCCCGUCAAGGAGCGACGACCCUCCUCCUCCUCCGAACAAGAUCCCAAAGUGCCUGUUCCACCUGAGAAGAGAGCUCGAUGAGCUGCACGGCCUCACGCACAAUGAGCAGGACGCCCAGGGAAAUGGAGCCCUACUCGCCGGUCUCCGACCGCCGGCGUCGGCAGCACCGCUGCCUCCUCCAACCCUCCUUGUCGGUCGCCCGCGUGCUGGUGCGAGGUAAGCUCAAUGCUCUCGGCAAGGAAGCCAUGGAGUAGAGGGAGCAGACGCAGAAUCUAUUGUACACAUCAAAUCGAAUCAAUGGUGGUUUUCUACAAGCACAUCAGUGCAAAAAAUGACAAUUGAUAGCCUCUCCUGUAGCUAUCAUACCAUGUGUUGUGUCACUAAGUUACAGUAUCAACUGCAGUCUACAUAUUUUCAGAUUAAUGAAGUUUAUAGCCCUCCAAUGCAGUAUCAGUAUGCUUUAUAAAAUUAUUCGAGUAUUGCAAAAUUGCAUGAUACAUCAAAUUGGAGCGUAUCCUACUUUUUAUGGACUGUGGACUUAUGUUGCUUAUUUAGAGGCUGCCAUACAUGGAUCAGGUAUGAUAUUGAUUGCAGAAAUUUCUAUACGACUGUUGUGAAUUUUGACCUAUUUCUUCCUGAUUUAGGAGAACUACAAUUUUUUGGUGCAUGAUCUAAAAUAGUUUCAACAAAUCCUCCCCUAAUGUUCUUAAUGUUCUGUGGUACACAAUUUGGGUAAAGGAGAGCACAUUACUCUAAUGUUUCUGCAGAUGAUAUUAAAUUGGACAUUUCAAUGGAUAAUAUAUGGUAUUGACUUGGACAUUGGUGUUGUGGAACACUCUAGCAGGUUUUGGAUCUUAUAGAAGUAUCAGUUGGCAGGGUCUGAAAAUCACGGUGUAAGUGUUUCAGCCUAUUAAUCUGUAGAUAAAAAAGUCCGUACAUCUCUACCAAUAAGGCAAUAAUCCCGAAGAAAGUUCUACUAUUGCAAACGCUCCAACUGAACAAGGAAUAUGAAUGUUUAAAUGAAGAAAGAAGCCAGUUUCUCCAGAAGGAAUACAGAAUAAUAUUUUGGAUUAUUUACUUGAGGUUAUGGGGAAGUGUGUGUUCAAAUGAAUCUAGCAUGCCAAUAACAUUUGUUGGUUCCUGAGAACUCACAUGAAGUAGUACUAUAUCACACUCUUCCGUGCCAAGGAAGGCUGGAUCGCUAGCAAGUCGUCCAUCAUGCUGGCUGCUGUACACCAAGAAUGCCAGCGAGAACAUGUAUAUUCCAUAAACUUUUUCAUUGUAUUAUACUCCCUCCGUCCUUGAAAGAGUGUACUUCCAACUUUGUUGGAAUGUUUGACUGUAUUUAUACAAUAAUACGUCAACAUUUAUGCCUUCAA